AUAUAAAUUAUUAAAUUAUAUUAAGUUCAUUUUUAUUUAAAACAUUAUUAAAUUAAGUAAAGGUGAUUAAAAAUUAGUUUAUUAUUUAAUUAAGUACCGUUAGGGAAUCUUAUUAAUUAAGUAAAAGAAAAAAUUGAAUUUUGUACCUUUUGCAUCAUGAUUUAGCUAGAUUUAAAUUAAAUAUUUAAUUUCUCGAAAUUUAAUGAGCUAUUUUUAGCCUAUAUAUUAGUUAUUUAGGAAGUAAUUGUGACAAAAAUUUUUCUAGAGCUAAAAAUAGAAAUGAAAUUUUAUUCGCAUUGAAUGAUAGCUAGUUCUCCUAAAAAAGUAUAGAAGUACCUUAAAUUAAAAUUUAUAUUGUAAAUUUUUUAUAAUUAUAAACUUUAAUUUAGACAGAUUUUUGAGGAUAAGCUCGAAAAUAAAUUAUAAUGAUACACAUAGAUUAAUGUUAAAUUUAAGCUUGAAAAUAGCUAGAAUUAAUGAUUUUGUUAUAAUUUCAUUACUUUAUUAAGAAUAUAAUUAAUUUGUAUACGUAAAAAGGAGAGAAUUCAAAAAUCUACUUGAAUUGUAUUUAUGCUAAAAUGAGUAUUCAUUGUAUAAUAUAUAAGCCUAGAAAUUAUAAAAACUAGAAGUUUAUUAUUUAUUUAUUUUUUUAAACUACAAAAAGGAACUCGGCAAAAUAAAAUGUUCUGCCUGUUUAUUAAAAACAUGGCUCCUUGUGAUAGAAAGAUAGGGAGUCGGACCUGCCCGGUGAAAUUUUUUAACGGCCGCGGUACUCUGACCGUGCAAAGGUAGCAUAAUAAUUUGCCUUAUAAUUGAAGGCUAGUAUGAAUGGUUUGUCAAGAACAUUACUGUCUCUUUGUAGUUAAUUAGAAUUUUAUCUUAAGGUGAAGAAGCCUUAAUAUAAUUGAUAGACAAGAAGACCCUAUCGAGCUUGAAAUAACUUAGAAGAUUAUACCUUAAUAUUAACUAAAAAGAUACUUUUAAAAAUUUUGGUUGGGGCGACUGAGGAACAAUAAAAGCUUCCUUUGAUUUUUAUUAACCUAUAAGUAUUGAUCCAAAUAUUUUGAUUAAAAAAAUUAGUUACCGUAGGGAUAACAGCAUAAUCUUUUUUAAGAGCUCUUAUCGAAAAAAAGGUUUGUGACCUCGAUGUUGGACCAGAAUAUCCUAAAGGUGCAGAAGCCUUUAAGGGUUGGUCUGUUCGACCAUUAAAAUUCUACGUGAUCUGAGUUUAGACCGGCGUGAGCCAGGUCAGUUUCUAUCUUCAAUUAAUAAAAUGAACUUAGUACGAAAGGACCAGCUUAUUAUAAAAAAUUAUUUGUAAAGAAAGCAUAUAAUAAAAAAUUUAAUAUCUAA
rnacentral:rRNA from 1 species